UGUAUGAAUACUUUGGAGUUAGACCUCAAGUUCGGGAGGAGGUUAAUGGCAUCAAGAUUUCUCCGUUGGUUGCCCAAACAUCGUUUGUCAAUACCCUCUAGGUGUUCUUUGGAAAUUUGGUGCUUGCUGAUUGACAACUUGACUGCUAAUGAUAUGACUUUGAAUCCUUGGGUUGGAUGUGAGAAGUAUACAGAGUGUGAGUGGGCUCUAGAGCUGAAUAACCGUUAAGUAUUGUUUAAGUGUGGGCAUGGAAGGUAUUGGUAUCUUGGUAAUCACGUGUUGACUUAGGUUCAACAUGUGUAUCCUUUACAACAAUUCCAGUUCCGCCUUAUCCCCCCGUCCAGUUGGCUAACCUUUUGACUAAUGAAGAGAUUGCUCAGGCUUGUGUUGGCUUUGUGGUUUCAGGAGUAGCAGGGACUUAUUCUGAAUUUAUUCGAACUCAUUUGCAAGGUUGCCUGGCCGACAUAUCGGAGAGGAAGAGGGAGAGGAAGAAGAAGAAGAGAUUCCUUCUCCUCACCAUGUUGGUAGGUA